rnacentral:misc_RNA from 1 species
GAUGAAGAACGUAGCGAAAUGCGAUAAGUAAUGUGAAUUGCAGAAUUCAGUGAAUCAUCGAAUCUUUGAACGCACAUUGCGCCCCUUGGUAUUCCGAGGGGCAUGCCUGUUCGAGCGUCAUUAUAACCCUCAAGCUCAGCUUGGUGUUGGGGCCUGCUGCACUGGCAGCCCUUAAAAUCAGUGGCGGCGCCAUCUGGCUCUAAGCGUAGUAAUUCUUCUCGCUAUGGAGUCCUGGUGGAUGCUUGCCAUCAACCCCCAAUUUUUCUAUGGUUGACCUCGGAUCAGGCAGGGAUACCCGCUGAACUUAAGCAUAUCAAUAAGCGGAGGA